AGCCUUAAGACUUAUUUAAGGUGAAACCUGCCCAGUGCGAAGUGUAAAUGGCCGCAGUACCUUGACUGUGCUAAGGUAGCAUAAUCAGUUGGCUUUUAAAUGGAGUCGGGAAUGAAUGGAUUUAUGGGGUGAAGCUGUCUCUUUUAUAUUGAACUGAACUUACUUAUUAGGUGAAAAUUCCUAAAUAUUGAAAAAAGACGAGAAGACCCUAGGAGUUUUAACUAAAAGUUACUUUUUAACUUAUGUUUUGGUUGGGGCGACAUUGGAACAAUUAUAACUUCCUUUAUAGUAUAUGCCGACUUGGUAUGAAAAUUUAAACUACCCUAGGGAUAACAGCGUAAUUCUUAUUUGAGUUUGCGACCUCGAUGUUGGACUAGGAAUUUUAUGGGCUAGACGCUCAUUUUUAUCGUUCUGUUCGAACUUACUCUCC
rnacentral:rRNA from 1 species